rnacentral:lncRNA from 1 species
AUGUGGGUGCCAGGGGGGGGACUCCAGGUCUGUCACAGCCAAGGUUUGCAGCCACAGCCAGCACAUCUCAGUCCCAAGCAGCCCCCCCAGCCCCAGCCAAGCCCCCGACUCACACUCAUCUUCCCAGGGAGGAUGAGGAGGGACAGUGCCCUGCCCCUGAGCCCCUGUGUCCCCCAGCACGGGACAGGAGGGUGGGCAGGAGCCCUGCCAAAGGAACCCCAUUCCAGGACAGGCCCAGGGCUGCCNUGGGCUGGAGGUGGCGGCACCCGCGUGUCCCCGCACGGUGUGGUGCCCGUCAAUCCGUCCUUCCUCUCUGGGUUUUCCUCCCUGGCACGCGUUAUGGGGGUAAUGGAAAGUGUGAUGGGGCAAUUUAAAUUUUCCUUGUUAUCAGCGCUCCCUCAGAAUGGAAUCUUUGUCUCAUGUGAAGCGUCAGGCGAGGGGGAAAUUCCCCUCCCACCUGCAACAGCCAGGGCUGUCUGUGGUAUCCCCAGCCCCUUCUGUGGGGCUGUCCCCCCUUGCAGCCCCAAUGCUCAUUGGGCUCCAGACACGGCUUGGGGUUCCUCUGCCCUCCAGGCUGUAGGAUCCUUAUCCAUGACCCUCAGGGUGAUGGGAGAAAGAGAGGCAGGAACUGGAGCCAGCACCUGCUGUGCCUGCCGGGGGUCAGUGCAGCCCCAGCCCCAUCUUUGGGGUGCUGGGCAGAGGGUUGGGAGCCUGUCACAGGGGACAGGCCUGGCCCCUGGCUUGUCACAAAGGCUGAGCCCUGCGGGACAGAGCAGUGAGCUGCGAGUGUGGGGCUGCUGGCAGCAUCGCCGUGCUCUGUUUCUGCCCCAUCAGAGGGGGUGCUGGGGGCAGGAUGGGGCCCCUCCAGUGCCAGGGCGUGCUGGGCGAGCUCUCCAGCGCAGCACCCGCCCCAGCUGCCGCCCUUCAUGUGGUUUCCUCCUCCCUGCUGCUGUUGUGGGUGAGGGGGUGCAGCACCCGCUGAAUUCCCUGUGCCCUGGGGCCACCUGCAGCCACCCGGGCCCGGGGAUCUGCCUCUGGUAG